rnacentral:rRNA from 1 species
GAGAAAGAACCAACAGGGAUUGCCCUAGUAACGGCGAGUGAAGCGGCAACAGCUCAAAUUUGAAAUCUGGCUCUUUCAGAGUCCGAGUUGUAAUUUGCAGAGGGCGCUUUGGCUUUGGCAGCGGUCCAAGUUCCUUGGAACAGGACGUCACAGAGGGUGAGAAUCCCGUACGUGGUCGCUAGCUAUUGCCGUGUAAAGCCCCUUCGACGAGUCGAGUUGUUUGGGAAUGCAGCUCUAAAUGGGAGGUAAAUUUCUUCUAAAGCUAAAUAUUGGCCAGAGACCGAUAGCGCACAAGUAGAGUGAUCGAAAGAUGAAAAGCACUUUGGAAAGAGAGUCAAACAGCACGUGAAAUUGUUGAAAGGGAAGCGCUUGCAGCCAGACUUGCUUGCAGUUGCUCAUCCGGGCUUUUGCCCGGUGCACUCUUCUGCAGGCAGGCCAGCAUCAGUUUGGGCGGUGGGAUAAAGGUCUCUGACACGUUCCUUCCUUCGGGUUGGCCAUAUAGGGGAGACGUCAUACCACCAGCCUGGACUGAGGUCCGCGCAUCUGCUAGGAUGCUGGCGUAAUGGCUGUAAGCGGCCCGUCUUGAAACACGGACCAAGGAGUCUAACAUCUAUGCGAGUGUUUGGGUGUCAAGCCCGAGCGCGUAAUGAAAGUGAACGGAGGUGGGAACCCGCAAGGGUGCACCAUCGACCGAUCCUGAAGUUUACGGAAGGAUUUGAGUAAGAGCAUGGCUGUUGGGACCCGAAAGAUGGUGAACUAUGCUUGAAUAGGGUGAAGCCAGAGGAAACUCUGGUGGAGGCUCGCAGCGGUUCUGACGUGCAAAUCGAUCGUCAAAUUUGGGCAUAGGGGCGAAAGACUAAUCGAACAUCAACGGCC